CUAGAGAAAAGUGACUCUCUAAUCACAUUGUAGAAUUUUAUAAGGACAUUUUAGGAAUGAAGUUUGUGAUUGAAGAAGGUGAAUAGUUGUCUUCAAUGAAUUUUAUGCAUCUGUAUUAUAUGCAGGUAGUGAGAAGGAUGUUUGAUCAGAUAUAUGAAAGAAAGGGAAUUUUUUGUUGUUGUAUCUGUCACGUUGAGAUGAAAAAAAAAUGUGCAUAAUACCAUGAUUGAUGUUGUACAUACAUUACUAUUUAGUGUUGCAAUACUGAGUCUCAUUAUAUGAUCAUGUCCAAAAUUUGUUAGUGUUUUUGUUUUGCAUCAAUUAACAUGCUAAAUAUAAUGACUGUUAGAGUAAGCUUGAUCUGUUAGACUGUAUAUGAUUGUGUGGCAGUACUUGCUACGUUAGAAAGCAUGUGCUUGGAUGACACUUUUUUUAUAGUAGCUAUUUUAGCUGUGAUCUGCAACAUGUGUCCAUGUAACUAGUAUAUCUGUAAAAACGUGUGGUUCCAAAUCAACUCCAUCACUGUGGCUUGAUUCUAGUUUCCUUAGAUGCAUUAUGUAUUGUCAUUGUGAUUUUCAUCAUGAACACCUGUUUUAAUUUUCAUCACCAUCCUUGUGUUGUUGGUAGGCUGGUAAUUGAAUUAUAUGGAUAUGAUCCUUGCCCUUUAAGAGAGAUGAUUCUGAAUCUGCAUUGUUCUUUGUUUUGUUCAUGUAUUGAUAAUUUCUUUAAGAUUGAUUCUAUCAAUGUACGAUAUCAGUGGUAGCAAGUUGCCUUGCUUUGUAUGUGCUAAAAUUUCACUUAUCAAGACAUUCCUUUUGUUGUUGAAGUGAAUUUUUAUUUCAUUUCGAUGUAUGAAGAUAAGAAAGCUCUAAGAGUAGUACAAAAAUUGAUAUGUGGCACUCCUUUAAUAAGGUUGAAUGUAUAUAUACUUGGAUACCUGUUUUAAUUGUAAGAUUAAUUUCAUUUUUAAAAAGAAUCCCUUCAAAAAUGUAGAUUCAUGUAUUUGUCUCAUAUACAGAAAUCUGGUAAUGCUUGAAAUGUUUUCACCUCAAAUCAUCCAUUAUGUUAUUUGGAUGCAGAGGGUAUUCAUUUACUAUGCUUGCUGAUUUAAGGUUGUAAAUAAUGUUUAUGGAAGAUGAGAUUUUAACUGAAUGAAGAUUAUAAACAUGUACACUGAUCAAAUUUGUAAACAUUUUCAUUAUAGCAUGAAAUAAAUAAUAGAACAAUG